rnacentral:rRNA from 1 species
UACGGGGGGGGCAAGCGUUGUUCGGAAUUACUGGGCGUAAAGGGCGCGUAGGCGGCCUUCUAAGUCAGACGUGAAAUCCCCCGGCUUAACCUGGGAACUGCGUCUGAUACUGGGGGGCUUGAGUAUGGGAGAGGGAUGUAGAAUUCCAGGUGUAGCGGUGAAAUGCGUAGAUAUCUGGAGGAAUACCGGUGGCGAAGGCGGCAUCCUGGACCAUAACUGACGCUGAGGCGCGAAAGCUAGGGGAGCAAACGGG